rnacentral:rRNA from 1 species
AACGAACGCUGGCGGCAGGCUUAACACAUGCAAGUCGAGCGCCCCGCAAGGGGAGCGGCAGACGGGUGAGUAACGCGUGGGAAUCUACCCAUCUCUACGGAAUAACGCAUGGAAACGUGUGCUAAUACCGUAUACGUCCUUCGGGAGAAAGAUUUAUCGGAGAUGGAUGAGCCCGCGUUGGAUUAGCUAGUUGGUGGGGUAAAGGCCUACCAAGGCGACGAUCCAUAGCUGGUCUGAGAGGAUGAUCAGCCACACUGGGACUGAGACACGGCCCAGACUCCUACGGGAGGCAGCAGGGGGGACUAUUGGACAAUGGGCGCAAGCCUGAUCCAGCCAUGCCGCGUGAGUGAUGAAGGCCCUAGGGUUGUAAAGCUCUUUCACCGGUGAAGAUAAUGACGGUAACCGGAGAAGCAGCCCCGGCUAACUUCGUGCCAGCAGCCGCCGUAAGAC